AGUUUGAUCCUGGCUCAGAUUGAACGCUGGCGGCAGGCCUAACACAUGCAAGUCGAGCGGUAACAGAAAGAAAGCUUGCUUUCUUUGCUGACGAGCGGCGGACGGGUGAGUAAUGCCUGGGAAUAUGCCUUGAUGUGGGGGAUAACCAUUGGAAACGAUGGCUAAUACCGCAUAAUGCCUACGGGCCAAAGAGGGGGAUCUUCGGACCUCUCGCGUCAAGAUUAGCCCAGGUGGGAUUAGCUAGUUGGUGAGGUAAUGGCUCACCAAGGCGACGAUCCCUAGCUGGUCUGAGAGGAUGAUCAGCCACACUGGAACUGAGACACGGUCCAGACUCCUACGGGAGGCAGCAGUGGGGAAUAUUGCACAAUGGGCGCAAGCCUGAUGCAGCCAUGCCGCGUGUGUGAAGAAGGCCUUCGGGUUGUAAAGCACUUUCAGUCGUGAGGAAGGUAGUUGCGUUAAUAGCGUAAUUAUUUGACGUUAGCGACAGAAGAAGCACCGGCUAACUCCGUGCCAGCAGCCGCGGUAAUACGGAGGGUGCGAGCGUUAAUCGGAAUUACUGGGCGUAAAGCGCAUGCAGGUGGUUUGUUAAGUCAGAUGUGAAAGCCCGGGGCUCAACCUCGGAAAUUGCAUUUGAAACUGGCAGACUAGAGUACUGUAGAGGGGGGUAGAAUUUCAGGUGUAGCGGUGAAAUGCGUAGAGAUCUGAAGGAAUACCGGUGGCGAAGGCGGCCCCCUGGACAGAUACUGACACUCAGAUGCGAAAGCGUGGGGAGCAAACAGGAUUAGAUACCCUGGUAGUCCACGCCGUAAACGAUGUCUACUUGGUAGGUUGUGGUCCUUGAGCCGUGGCUUUCGGAGCUAACGCGUUAAGUAGACCGCCUGGGGAGUACGGUCGCAAGAUUAAAACUCAAAUGAAUUGACGGGGGCCCGCACAAGCGGUGGAGCAUGUGGUUUAAUUCGAUGCAACGCGAAGAACCUUACCUACUCUUGACAUCCAGAGAAGCCAGCGGAGACGCAGGUGUGCCUUCGGGAGCUCUGAGACAGGUGCUGCAUGGCUGUCGUCAGCUCGUGUUGUGAAAUGUUGGGUUAAGUCCCGCAACGAGCGCAACCCUUAUCCUUGUUUGCCAGCGAGUAAUGUCGGGAACUCCAGGGAGACUGCCGGUGAUAAACCGGAGGAAGGUGGGGACGACGUCAAGUCAUCAUGGCCCUUACGAGUAGGGCUACACACGUGCUACAAUGGCGCAUACAGAGGGCUGCCAACCAGCGAUGGUGAGCGAAUC
rnacentral:rRNA from 1 species